GGCCUUGUGGCCCAAUGGAUAAGGCGCCUGACUACGGAUCAGGAGAUGCCAGGUUCGAGUCUUGGCAGGGUCG
rfam:Nematostella vectensis strain CH2 x CH6 NEMVEscaffold_25_Cont4537, whole genome shotgun sequence.